GCAUAUCAAUAAGCGGAGGAAAAGAAACCAACAGGGAUUGCCCUAGUAACGGCGAGUGAAGCGGCAACAGCUCAAAUUUGAAAUCUGGCGUCUUUGGCGUCCGAGUUGUAAUUUGCAGAGGGCGCUUUGGCAUUGGCAGCGGUCCAAGUUCCUUGGAACAGGACGUCACAGAGGGUGAGAAUCCCGUACGUGGUCGCUAGCCUUUACCGUGUAAAGCCCCUUCGACGAGUCGAGUUGUUUGGGAAUGCAGCUCUAAAUGGGAGGUAAAUUUCUUCUAAAGCUAAAUACUGGCCAGAGACCGAUAGCGCACAAGUAGAGUGAUCGAAAGAUGAAAAGCACUUUGGAAAGAGAGUUAAAAAGCACGUGAAAUUGUUGAAAGGGAAGCGCUUGCAGCCAGACUUGCCUGUAGUUGCUCAUCCGGGUUUUUACCCGGUGCACUCUUCUAUAGGCAGGCCAGCAUCAGUUUGGGCGGUUGGAUAAAGGUCUCUGUCAUGUACCUCUCUUCGGGGAGAACUUAUAGGGGAGACGACAUGCAACCAGCCUGGACUGAGGUCCGCGCAUCUGCUAGGAUGCUGGCGUAAUGGCUGUAAGCGGCCCGUCUUGAAACACGGACCAAGGAGUCUAACAUCUAUGCGAGUGUUUGGGUGUCAAGCCCGAGCGCGUAAUGAAAGUGAACGGAGGUGGGAACCUUUCGGGGUGCACCAUCGACCGAUCCUGAUGUCUUCGGAUGGAUUUGAGUAAGAGCAUAGCUGUUGGGACCCGAAAGAUGGUGAACUAUGCUUGAAUAGGGUGAAGCCAGAGGAAACUCUGGUGGAGGCUCGCAGCGGUUCUGACGUGCAAAUCGAUCGUCAAAUUUGGGCAUAGGGGCGAAAGACUAAUCGAACUAUCUAGUAGCUGGUUCCUGCCG
rnacentral:rRNA from 3 species